UUAGCCCCCUUAUAGAACAAACUUGGAGGAAAACAGGUUUGGGGGGAAGAGAGGGUUUCCCAGCACGACUACUAGAGCAUGAAGGAUGCUUCUUUUCACCUGUCUUUCUACAGCUGUGAUGGAAAAAUAAGGUGCUGCGGUUCGGACUGAAUACCUCCCAAAUAACUUCCUUGCAGCUCAUCACACCGUUCUGACAAAACCCAUCCUGAAUGCAGAGGGUGCAUCUUGAAAGCGUCACCUUCUUAAAUGGAGCACAUCAACAAGUAAACACUCUCCACAGUAGCCCCGUCCAGGCCCCAAGCAGCAGGACAGCAGUCAGCGCUUCUCCAGAAGCAAGGAGUUGCAUCACUUCCUCAGCCUUAGAUAUGAGUCCACAAUAUGACAUAUGAGCAAAACAUCACCAGCCAAACAGGGCCGAGACAGCUCAGCUAAGGCAGCAGUGGCUCUGGAGCACUCUCCAGUCACUCUUGGUAAGUAACUGAGGCUAAAACAUUGACGUCUUGAGAAAACAGGGGGGACCUACACGUCACAGCUUUGGAGGGACUAAUUUUGAGGGAAAUAUUAAAGAGAAAAAAGUGGAAAUCUGUUAUCUGACAAUUAAAUUUAGGGCAUAAACCUGCUAAUCUUUGAAAAAAAGAUAGAGAAAAUAUAAGAAGGAAAAAGUAUUUUUGACUCAGCAAGAGCCAGACUAAUGACAUGACACUAACAAAAAGCAAUGUUUUCCUAGAGAAACUGGUAAAAAAAAUAUUUAUCCUUAAAAACCACCAAACAAAGACUGAGCAACAUAGAUUGGGUAAAACAUUCAAAAUGGAAUAAUCCUCCAUUUACAGUAGGAUGGAUGGACAGUGAUGGGGAAAUGUAAUGCAUCUUUCUAGCUCUAUUUUAUUAUUCUAACAGUAGAACAUCAAAUUAAGUUAUUGCUAAAGUAGUUAGUUGACUUGUAAUGUUCAAUUUCCACUAGCUUUUGGCUUUUCAGACGUUUUCUCUCCCUGGACUGAAAUGGCUUGUGCUUAGCGUUAAACAAAACCAACGUGCUUAUCUAUUUGAAAAAUUGAGAAAAAGCUUUUUUCUUCAGUCAAGAGAAUGGAGCAAAAGAGAUACUUCUGCUAGUACACAUGUACAUGCACCCAUACCGAAAUGACAAAAGAUGAUGUCUCCUGACACAAACACUUAAUAGCACUUUUGUAUGUAGGUGUCUGUAGAUACAACAAGGUCCCACGUGCCUGUUUGAAGCUCCCAGAUGUUGCAGCCGGUGUACCUGGCAUGCUGCAGGGCACUGAAGCAUAGCAAUAGAGGUGUGUGUAUUGUGGAAAAAGGGUAAGCAUUUUCACGUGCCGAUUUCCCAUCCAGGUGAGUGAGUGGCUCUCCCAUAGAAGGCUCGAAGAGCGG
rnacentral:lncRNA from 1 species